ensembl:lncRNA
GGACUGGCAGGAAAAGCAAUGAUGAGUAAAGCUCAAGUUCUCCUUUAUGAGCCCCUCGUCUAACAACCGCAUUUGAUUACAGUAAGGCUCAGAGUUGAGGAACUUUUUUCAGGAUUACUGCCAGUUUCCUCCAGCACACACACACACACACACUGCUGGAUGCUGGAGCGUCUCUGUGAAAGCGGAGUGGGCUGAGACUAUAAUGAGAGCGGUAUGAAGGGAUGAUGUUGAAGACUGGCCGAGCCAGUCAGGGAUAAACAGUGGGGAGUUUCCUUCAGAUUCUACGAUCUGCUCUUCUGGUUUGUCUCUGUUCGGCAGUCCAAUCUGCUUUGAUCCUGGAGAAGCUAAAAGAGGCUAUAAAAAGCCUAAUAACCUCGCUGGACCCCACAACUAUCCUCCUGGCAUGGAUCGCUGGACAUUUCAGAAGAGCAAGGAAUAUUAGGACUGGAGAAUUACAGUCCUUCUUUGGAGUUUGUGAAGCUUAUGGAUUCCACCUCACGCCAGACUGCACUUUAUUUUGCAAGAAUUUGAUGCGGUCUGUUUGACCCAUCCUUGUUUCAUGUGGCAGCAACCCUUUACACUUCCUUCCCCACAUACUGUAAAGCAAAUUACUUAAUUUAGUGAUAUGAGAAACAUCAGACAGAGACAAAAGCCAAAUGGAGGACGUCAUAGGAAAUGGGUUUUAAUAAAACAUCCUUCAAAGGCAUUUUGAAAUGAUUACACAUGACUAAUGAUUUCAUAAAAUGACUUAAUUAAGUUCACUCUCCUUGGGUGGCAAGUAAAUGCACAAAUAAAGGGUUGCAUAGGCCUAAUAAAUUGUAAAACCUAAAACAGCCAACAUGGAAGUGAUUCAAAUUGCAUGUAUACUGCUACACCACUUUUCCUGACUUGUAUCAUGGUAAUGCUGUGGUAUUCUUAAAGUACCUCAGAGUACCAUGCAAGUGCAAUUUUUUGUUCUAUGUCUGUAUGGUGUUGGUAUGGUCCAUCAGAGAACAUCACUAUACUCUGG